UUUGACCCUCAAACGGGCUGCGGAAAGUUAUGGCACGUAAAAAGAUCGAAAGCGGAUUCUCAAGGUGUUUUUGAUGCUUUCUUAACGCCGUUAACCUCGAUGCACUUUUCGCUCGAAACAAAACGGCAAGAAAAAUCAUGCGCGCCCCACGGCCUUACACUUGGAUUGGCCGCGAAAAGGAUAUAUAGAAACGAGAGUGAUGUACUGACGGGUGCGAUCAUACCAGCACUAAUGCACGGAUCCCAUCAGAACUCCGCAGUGAAAGCGUGCUUGGGCGAGAGUAGUACUAGGAUGGGUGACCUCCCGGGAAGUCCUCGUGUUGCACCCCUUUUUAUUUUUAAAUUUUUUUUUAGCCUAAAACGAGUCUAAACUUGAAAACCUCAUAACUUUUGAACCGUGAGGAACUACGUCGCCCAUAGCACCAUUUCCGGAGAGCCCCAGAAACCAUAAUGGGCGGUGAAUAGGGGGCGCAAUUUUUCGGGCUCAAAUUCAGCCGUUUUGACCCUCAAACGGGCUGCGGAAAGUUAUGGCACGUAAAAAAGAUCGAAAGCGGAUUCUCAAGGUGUUUUGAUGCUUUCUUAACGCCGUUAACCUCGAUGCACUUUUUCGCUUCGAAACAAAACGGCAAGAAAAUCAUGCGCGCCCCACGGCCUUACACUUGGAUUGGCCGCGAAAAGGAUAUAUAGAAACGAGAGUGAUGUACUGACGGGUGCGAUCAUAUACCAGCACUAAUGCACCGGAUCCCAUCAGAACUCCGCAGUUAAGCGUGCUUGGGCGAGAGUAGUACUAGGAUGGGUGACCUCCCGGGAAGUCCUCGUGUUGCACCCCUUUUAUUUUUUAAUUUUUUUUUGCCUAAAACGAGUCUAAACUUGAAAACCUCAUAACUUUUGAACCGUGAGGAACUACGUCGCCCAUAGCACCAUUUCGGAGAAGCCCCAGAAACCAUAAUGGGCGGUGAAUAGGGGGCGCAAUUUUUCGGGCUCAAUUCAGCCGUUUUGACCCUCAAACGGGCUGCGGAAAGUUAUGGCACGUAAAAAAAGAUCGAAAGCGGAUUCUCAAGGUGUUUUUGAUGCUUUCUUAACGCCGUAACCUCGAUGCACUUUUUCGCUCGAACAAAACGGCAAGAAAAUCAUGCGCGCCCCACGGCCUUACACUUGGAUUGGCCGCGAAAAGGAUAUAUAGAAACGAGAGUGAUGUACUGACGGGUGCGAUCAUACCAGCACUAAUGUACCGGAUCCCAUCAGAACUCCGCAGUUAAGCGCGCUUGGGCGAGAGUAGUAUUAGGAUGGGUGACCUCCCGGGAAGUCUUCGUGUUGCACCCCUUUUUAUUUUAUAAUUUUUUUAGCCUAAAACGAGUCUAAACUUGAAAACCUCAUAAAUUUUGAACCGUGAGGAACUACGUCGCCCAUAGCACCAUUUCGGAAAGUCCCAGAAACCAUAAUGGGCGGUGAAUAGGGGGCGCAAUUUUUCGGGCUGAAAUUCAGCCGUUUUGACCCUCAAACGGGCUGCGGAAAGUUAUGGCACGUAAAAAGAUCGAAAGCGGAUUCUCAAUGGUUUUUGAUGCUUUCUUAACGCCGUUAACCUCGAUGCACUUUUUCGCUCGAAACAAAACGGCAAGAAAAUCAUGCGCCCCCACGGCCUUACACUUGGAUUGGCCGCGAAAAGGAUAUAUAGAAACGAGAGUGAUGUACUGACGGGUGCGAUCAUACCAGCACUAAUGCACCGGAUCCCAUCAGAACUCCGCAGUUAAGCGUGCUUGGGCGAGAGUAGUACUAGGAUGGGUGACCUCCCGGGAAGUCCUCGUGUUGCACCCCUUUUUAUUUUUUAAUUUUUUUUUGCCUAAAACGAGUCUAAAACUUGAAAACCUCAUAACUUUUGAACCGUGAGGAACUACGUCGCCCAUAAGCACCAUUUCGGAAAGCCCCAGAAACCAUAAUGGCGGGAAUGCGGUGAAUAGGGGGCGCAAUUUUUCGGGCUCAAAUUCAGCCGUUUUGACCCUCAGACGGGCUGCGGAAAGUUAUGGCACGUAAAAAAGAUCGAAAGCGGAUUCUCAAGGUGUUUUUGAUGCUUUCUUAACGCCGUUAACCUCGAUGCACUUUUUUGCUCGAAACAAAACGGCAAGAAAAUCAUGCGCGCCCCACGGCCUUACACUUGGAUUGGCUGCGAAAAGGAUAUAUAGAAACGAGAGUGAUGUACUGUCGGCUGCGAUCAUACCAGCACUAAUGCACCGGAUCCCAUCAGAACUCCGCAGUGAAGCGUGCUUGGGCGAGAGUAGUACUAGGAUGGGUGAC
rnacentral:lncRNA from 1 species